GGAGGAAUAGCUCAGUGGUAGAGCACAUGCUUAUCAAGUACGAGGUCCUGGGUUCAAUGCUCAGUACCUCCA
rfam:Camelus ferus unplaced genomic scaffold scaffold1033, whole genome shotgun sequence.